CGCGGUGCAUUAUUUAGUUGGUGGGGUAAAGGCCUACCAAGACAAUGAUGCAUAGCCGAGUUGAGAGACUGAUCGGCCACAUUGGGACUGAGACACGGCCCAAACUCCUACGGGAGGCUGCAGUAGGGAAUCUUCCACAAUGGGCGAAAGCCUGAUGGAGCAACGCCGCGUGUGUGAUGAAGGCUUUCGGGUCGUAAAGCACUGUUGUAUGGGAAGAACAGCUAGAAUAGGAAAUGAUUUUAGUUUGACGGUACCAUACCAGAAAGGGACGGCUAAAUACGUGCCAGCAGCCGCGGUAAUACGUAUGUCCCGAGCGUUAUCCGGAUUUAUUGGGCGUAAAGCGAGCGCAGACGGUUUAUUAAGUCUGAUGUGAAAGCCCGGAGCUCAACUCCGGAAUGGCAUUGGAAACUGGUUAACUUGAGUGCAGUAGAGGUAAGUGGAACUCCAUGUGUAGCGGUGGAAUGCGUAGAUAUAUGGAAGAACACCAGUGGCGAAGGCGGCUUACUGGACUGCAACUGACGUUGAGGCUCGAAAGUGUGGGUAGCAAACAGGAUUAUAUACCCUGGUAGUCCACACCGUAAAACGAUGAACACUAGGUGUUAGGAGGUUUCCGCCUCUUAGUGCCGAAGCUAACGCAUUU
rnacentral:rRNA from 1 species